AACGAACGCUGGCGGCAUGCCUAACACAUGCAAGUCGAACGAGACCUUCGGGUCUAGUGGCGCACGGGUGCGUAACGCGUGGGAACCUGCCCUUAGGUUCGGAAUAACUCCCCGAAAGGGGUGCUAAUACCGGAUAAUGUCUUCGGACCAAAGAUUUAUCGCCUUUGGAUGGGCCCGCGUUGGAUUAGCUAGUUGGUAGGGUAAAAGCCUACCAAGGCGACGAUCCAUAGCUGGUCUGAGAGGAUGAUCAGCCACACUGGGACUGAGACACGGCCCAGACUCCUACGGGAGGCAGCAGUGGGGAAUAUGGGACAAUGGGCGAAAGCCUGACCCAGCAAUGCCGCGUGAGUGAUGAAGGCUUUAGGGUUGUAAAGCUCUUUUACCCGGGAUGAUAAUGACAGUACCGGGAGAAUAAGCCCCGGCUAACUCCGU
rnacentral:rRNA from 1 species